rnacentral:rRNA from 1 species
GAUGAACGCUGGCGGCGUGCCUAACACAUGCAAGUCGAACGAAGCACCUUACCUGAUUCUUCGGAUGAAAGUUUGGUGACUGAGUGGCGGACGGGUGAGUAACGCGUGGGUAACCUGCACUGUACAGGGGGAUAACAGCUGGCAACGGCUGCUAAUACCGCAUAAGCGCACGAGGAGACAUCUCCUUGUGUGAAAAACUCCGGUGGGAUAGGAUGGGCCCGCGUCUGAUUAGCUGGUUGGCAGGGUAACGGCCUACCAAGGCAACGAUCAGUAGCCGGGCAGAGAGGAUGGGCGGCGACAUUGGAGGGAGGACACGGUGCAGAAUCCUACGGGAGGCGGCAGUGGGGAAUAUUGCACAAUGGGGGGAACGCUGAUGCAGCAACGCCGCGUGAGUGAAGAAGUAUUUCGGUAUGUAAAGCUAUAUCAGCAGGGAAGAUAAUGACGGUACCUGACUAAGAAGCUCCGGCUAAAUACGUG